rnacentral:rRNA from 1 species
AUUGAACGCUGGCGGCAUGCUUUACACAUGCAAGUCGAACGGUAACAGGGUGCUUGCACCGCUGACGAGUGGCGAACGGGUGAGUAAUGCGUCGGAACGUGCCGAGUAGUGGGGGAUAACGCAGCGAAAGUUGUGCUAAUACCGCAUACGUACUGAGGUAGAAAGUGGGGGACCUUCGGGCCUCACGCUAUUCGAGCGGCCGACGUCUGAUUAGCUAGUAGGUGAGGGAAAGGCUCACCUAGGCGACGAUCAGUAGCGGGUCUGAGAGGAUGAUCCGCCACACUGGGACUGAGACACGGCCCAGACUCCUACGGGAGGCAGCAGUGGGGAAUCUUGGACAAUGGGCGAAAGCCUGAUCCAGCCAUGCCGCGUGUCUGAAGAAGGCCUUCGGGUUGUAAAGGACUUUUGUCGGGGAGGAAAUCCCCAGCGCUAAUACCGCUGGGGGAUGACAGUACCUGAAGAAUAAGCACCGGCUAACUACGUGCCAGCCGCCGCCGUAAAAC